UACGGAGGGAGCUAGCGUUGUUCGGAAUUACUGGGCGUAAAGCGCGCGUAGGCGGCUUUGUAAGUUAGAGGUGAAAGCCCGGGGCUCAACUCCGGAAUUGCCUUUAAGACUGCAUCGCUAGAAUCCGGGAGAGGUGAGUGGAAUUCCGAGUGUAGAGGUGAAAUUCGUAGAUAUUCGGAAGAACACCAGUAGCGAAGGCGGCUCACUGGACCGGCAUUGACGCUGAGGUGCGAAAGCGUGGGGAGCAAACAGG
rnacentral:rRNA from 1 species